UACGUAGGGAGCGAGCGUUGUCCGGAUUCAUUGGGCGUAAAGAGCUCGUAGGCGGUUCAGUAAGUCGGGUGUGAAAUCUCCGUGCUCAACACGGAGCGGCCACCUGAUACUGCUGUGACUCGAGUCCGGUAGGGGGAGUGUGGAAUUUCUCGGUGUAGAGGUGAAAUUCGUAGAUAUCAGAGGAACACCGGUGGCGAAGGCGGCCUUCUGGACAGUGACUGACGCUGAGACGCGAAAAGCGUGGGGGAGCAAACAGG
rnacentral:rRNA from 1 species